rnacentral:lncRNA from 1 species
ACAUCCCAAGUAGCGGAUCUGACUCGUUCAAAUGGAGAUGGACCUCGCAUCAAAAGUAUUAUUUCGAAUCUAACUUAUAAAUUUGAAUUUAAAUUAAAAUUUAAUUUAUAUAAAGUUUUAUUCAAAUUUUAUUUAAAAUUUAAAUUAAAUUUAUGAAUUCAAAUUAAAAAUUUAAAUUGUAAUUUUAAGUUUAAAUUUGAAUAAAUUGAAAUUUAGUUUUAUAUUUUAAAUUAUCCACUCAACUUCAAAGUUUAAUUUUUUUAAAAAAAUAGAUUUAAAAUUAUGAUGCAAAUUUUUAAUAUUUAAUUUUUAAUUUGAAUUUAAAUUAAUAUAUUAUAAAGAUAAAUUUAGUAUAUUAAUUUGAUUACGUUUUUAAUAUUUAUCUGAAUCAAAUACCGACAAUGAGAAUGAUUUAUUUCGAUUUCGAUUCAAGUGACGAACUAAAUAGAAUUAGGUAAUGAGUCAUUUCUAUUCUAAUUCCAGUUUAUUUUGAUUCC